UGCGUAGGUGGUCUUUUAAGUCAGAAGUGAAAGGCAUUGGCGCAACCAAUGUAAGCUUUUGAAACUGAAAGACUUGAGUGCAGGAGAGGUAAGUGGAAUUCCUAGUGUAGCGGUGAAAUGCGUAGAUAUUAGGAGGAACACCAGUGGCGAAGGCGACUUACUGGACUGUUACUGACACUGAGGCACGAAAGCGUGGGGAGCGAACAGGAUUAGAUACCCUGGUAGUCC
rnacentral:rRNA from 1 species